CGACAGUCCCCGCCCCGGGGGACUAGCCUUUUCCUAGCAGGACACAGAACCCCAAACACUCACAGAAUAAAGAGCUUCCUGGCUCGAGGCCUUCACCCACUCAGCCUCAGCUUCCACGUCUGUAAAUGGGGAUAUCACAGCUGCAUUACAGGACUGUCAUUAGACUUUGUCGAUAAGCUGAACACAUAGAGAGCUCAGCACACAGAGAGCUUGACACGCUCAAUAUCCAUGCCUGGCGUGCACACUUCCAUGUGCGCCAGGUUCCAGCCGUCUAGUGUCCGGGAUGAAGCAGCACAUGUCAUCAUUGCUGCACCCAAGAUGGCAGGACGUCUCGCGGCCACGACAUCCCCUCUAUGGCCGCACAGUCUGAGUGGAGCACGCUGGAGAGGAAGAGGGGGGAAUGAGGCAGGUCUAGCCUGCUCCAGCCCAGCUGGACCCAGCCAGGGCAUCUGCAGGGAACCCCAGACUGAGGGCUCCUGGACUCUGGCCUCAUCCCUGCCAGGGAUGGGGUGGAGGCCAGACCACAGGGUUGGGCCCUUCUGAAGAGGGCACUCAAAACGAAGAGACGGCUGUGCCUCGUUUGUCAAAUGAAAUCAAUUACUAACCCACAGGGCUGAAAUCGAUUCCUAACUCACUCUGCAGCAGGGACUCAGCUCAGCAUUUCACAAACACUGUCUCACCCAGACUCACGAGAGCCCUAAGAGGUGGACACUGUCAUUCCCAUGUGACAGGUGGAAACACC
rnacentral:lncRNA from 1 species